CCCCCCUCCAGUUUAUUUUAUAAAAGUAUCAAACUGGGUCAAUGACGCCACAGAUUAUGAAGAAAAAAACAAUUUAAAACAAAUAGUUGUGCUUGAAAUCAUUUUUCAAAACAUUUUAUUGGUCUUAUAGAAAAUAAAGUAAGCUGUAUCAACAAAACAUACAAUAUAUACAUCAAUAACUUAGACACCUCAGAGAAUCACAUUUAUCCACAGUUUUUACUGUAUAUAUAGUACUUAUCUACAGAUUGCAAAAAGUACAAUAAUUUAAUUUAUAAAUAGUUACAAUGAACUAUCGUUUGUUUUCAUACAAAGUACUGCAAUAUUUCAUCUAAACCCAUACAGAAAAAUAAUAAAAACAGAUUUCCAUUUCCUCUAAAAAAGGCCAACCUUCUCCUCAGAGGAACCUGAACUGUUUUCAAAGCUGAAUCACAAGAAAAAAAAGUCAACGUCUUGAGAUCUGUUCAAUUCAACUGCCGCACAAGUGCUGUAAUGUGUCCUCUCGAACGUGUUGCUGAUAAGAAAACAACAAAAAAGCCUUAACCUAUUAAAAAUGAAAUCUGCAGAACAAAUUCCAGUGUUAAGAUCAAUUUCAGACCCACUCGACACGCGAUGAGAACGGAAUCGCUGCGGAUGAAACUACAGCAAACAACGAGCAAUAAUGAGUGGAGCAGCAGCAGAGGAACCUCGGACGUACAAAACACGCACACACCAAAGAACAGACAAUAUUGCAAGUGGCCCUUGUGACAGAAUCUACUGUAGCAUCUAUUUCACUCAGUGCACAAACAUUUACAUGACAGAAAUAUCCUUCAGUCAAGUUAAAUUAACGGAUCGGGUAAAAUCAUCUAAUUCAAGACCAGCGCAAUUAGUGAGUAAGGCUGUGAGUGCAACUGUCCCACGGUUCCACACUUUUACAGCGUUUAACACGUCUACUAUGAACAAGGGCCAAUUGCUCCUCCAUUUAGGGAAUUCAAAAUCUGAGGGAAUUUUUUUUAAAAGAAAUAACAUAUGUUUACGAAAGGAAUCGACCUACAGAACAGCAGGAAUUAUUGCAUAACAGAGCAUAGUCACUUUGACAAUAUUGAUUACUCUUACAUCUACUCCUGCACACCUUUUCCACUGAGUUGCAUAUUAAGGGUCACUUUUUCACAAUGGUCAUUAAUACCUACUGUAGCUACAUACUAUACAACUGUAUGCGUGAGCAAAUAGAGAGUUUUAUGGGUCAACGGUGCAGUUUGGGGGAAAAAAAAAAAAAAAACGUUAAAAAAGGAUUCACUCCACAAGACUGCCGACAGCGGAAUAAGGACGCCAACAUCAACACCGGGCUUUGU
ensembl:lncRNA